rnacentral:rRNA from 1 species
GGCCGCGGGAAUUCGAUUUCCGGUUGAUCCUGCCAGACCCGACUGCUAUCAGAGUGGGACUAAGCCAUGCGAGUCAACGUAGCAAUGCGUGGCGAACGGCUCAGUAACACGUAGUCAACAUGCCCAGGGGACGUGGAUAACCUCGGGGAACUGAGAUUAAACCGCGAUAGGUCAAGAUUUCUGGAAUGGAUCGUGUCUUAAAUCUACAUGGCCCCUGGAUUGGACUGCGGCCGAUCAGGCUGUUGGUGAGGUAAUGGCCCACCAAACCUAUAACCGGUACGGGCUCUGAGAGGAGAAGCCCGGAGAUGGGCACUGAGACAAGGGCCCAGGCCCUAUGGGGCGCAGCAGGCGCGAAACCUCUGCAAUGGGCGAAAGCCUGACAGGGUUACUCUGAGUGAUUUCCGCUAAGGAGAUCUUUUGGCAGCUCUAAAAAUGGUGCAGAAUAAGGGGUGGGCAAGUCUGGUGUCAGCCGCCGCGGUAAUACCAGCACCCCGAGUGGUCGGGACGAUUAUUGGGCCUAAAGCAUCCGUAGCCGGUUGUGCAAGUCCUCCGUUAAAUCCAGCCGCUCAACGGAUGGGCUGCGGAGGAUACUACAGGACUAGGAGGCGGGAGAGGCAAGCGGUACUUAGUGGGUAGGGGUAAAAUCCUUUGAUCCAUUGAAGACCACCAGUGGCGAAGGCGGCUUGCCAGAACGCGCUCGACGGUGAGGGAUGAAAGCUGGGGGAGCAAACCGGAUUAGAUACCCGGGUAGUCCCAGCUGUAAACGAUGCAGACUCGGUGAUGGGCUAGCCUCGUGUCAGCCCAGUGCCGCAGGGAAGCCGUUAAGUCUGCCGCCUGGGGAGUACGGUCGCAAGACUGAAACUUAAAGGAAUUGGCGGGGGAGCACCACAAAGGGUGAAGCCUGCGGUUCAAUUGGAUUCAACGCCGGGAAUCACUAGUGAAUUC